GUCGUUCGUCCAAGGGCAAAUCCGUCAUUUAGCUCAAGGACAAAAGAGAUAUUUAGCGUUUCUCAACAUAAUUCCAGAAGAAUCAUCCAGUUCUUUCAUCUUCUGGUCCAACUAUUUGGAGAAACAUGGAUUGGACUUCAGAAUUCUUUUUUUUCCCAAACUUUCAAGGACUGCUCUUCAACUUCAUCUUCUCAACUGGAAGUGCAAUUUUAGGUCAGUUUUUGUCUCAAUCUUUACCCUAAUCAGAUUUUUCAAUUUCAUACCUAAUGUUUAAAAAUGGGCUCAAUUUAAUUUUCUCUUUCUCAUUCACCUUCUACUCUCUGAUUUCUAUCACUGGACCAUUUUCUGCACACAAACUCUCACUAAACCAUAGAGAUAAUAGAUCUGAAGAACAAGAAACUUGGGUGAAUUAAAGAUGUCGUGGCAAACAUAUGUUGAUGAUCACUUGCUUUGUGAGAUUGAAGGUAAUCAUCUCACUUCUGCUGCUAUUAUCGGUCAAGACGGCACCGUUUGGGCCCAACCUGCUAAUUUCCCUCAGACAUUGAUGAUAUUGCAACAACAAGAUCUUGCUAUUUUCAUGUUGGGACUAUGAAAUCUGAUGAAUAAUAUUAUUGAUUGAAGAGCAACCAAUAUUUCAGGACUAUGGAAUCCGGCUUGAUAGAGUGGAAAGAAACAAGAUUAAAUAACUUUAUAUGUGCAUAAAAUUCUUUAUGUGCAAUUAGUUUGUAGUUUAAUCUUUUGUCAUUAACGCCAACUUCACCUUGCAAGCUUCCAUCAGUGCUGAAAAGACAGCAUUGGAGCAGAAGAUGUAAGCAAGCUGAUGCGCCAUUUGGAUGAAAAAAACAAGCUUUAGGAAAGUGGUGCCUUCAUUUGGCAAUAAAACUCCCCCAAUGGUCAUGAAAGAGCUUCAUCCUGGAACGACUUGUGUUAUUAGCAGCAUUUGUUAACUACUAUGCACAGCUGCCAAAAUACAGAUUCCAACCUGUUGCAACAUAUCUCAUACAUAUGUUGGACCACCUACAAUCUCACAGUUUUUGCCUUUUUAGCAAGCUCCCUCUAUAACUUUAUUCCGCAAAUAAAUGUUGCUUGUGCAUGUUUGAAACUAGAUGCAUAGGUGCAACCUUUUGAGAAGUACCGAAAAUUUGAUUCAAAUAAAUUAUGUUUAUGGACAGAGUGACACUUGGCUAAAUAAGAAGCUUAAAUGACUAAGCUGGCAAGUGACAACUAUAUGAAAAUGGCCAUUCACAGUGUAAGUCUCCAAUCUUUUUUUGUGUGAUGUUGAGCUUAAGUUGUCUCAUGCUCUGUAGUUGAGGUUUCUCAUCAUGCAUGGUCGCGAAGAUAUUCUAUUUUGCUAACGCCGUUUUAUGUUUUGUCCCGGUGUCGAGAAAGGGUUACCAGUUUAGUGUUUCUAGAAUUACCUUUAUCUUAUUGCUCUUUGACAAUGGUAUUUCAUUUGCUUACAUGUGUAAUCCUACAGUACCAUUACUGCUAUUUUAACUUUUUUGUCAACAAGAAGAAUUAGAUAUAACUUAUAGUUUUUCAGAAUGAGUAGAUAUUUUUCCAUGUGAUAUCUUUUCUCAAUUAGUAGUUAACCCGUUAUGGAGCAUUGACUACAGAUUGUUGUUUAGAUGACUUUAUUUUAUUUUUUUACUCUCAAGUUGUUCGAGGGACGAGGGGAUAAAAUACAGUAAACAACUAUAUGAAUGGUGGAAUAAUAUGAAUGACAACUAUCUCAUGUAACAAUUUCUUAAGAGCACGAUUCUGGUCGUGCUACAAUUACUAAUGUUAUUUGGUCAAGAGUUAUCAUUAGCAAAAAUAUUUCUUUCUAUUUCUUUGUCUAGACAAUCUAUUUGAACACUAAGGUAUACAUGAUUAAUAUCAUCGAUUAUUUCUUCUUUUUAUUUGAUAUUUAAGUCAGUAGAAAUGUGUAUAUGUACAAUCCUUCUAAUGUGUUUCUCAAUCUAAUGAUGAUUAAAUACAUUACUUUGAUAUCCGAUCUCCAUGCUAGCCUCUCCAUUUUCAUUGUAUAAAUGAAAUUUAAUUUUUCUGUUUUAAUCCUUACAAGAACACAAUGUCAAUGUGUUUUUUAUUUUAACUAUAUAGAAGCGUGGGUUAGGAGAAUGGAUUGACAUGGUGCCUUAUGUGUCAAUAAAAUUACAAUCAAGGGCAAUUUAGAGAUUCAAGGCAGGCUUAUUUAGGUUAGUUUACGUGUCAACAACCCUCCAGCUGUCACUUUCUUCUCACAGAACUCAUCUGUGUGCCGAUUGCCUCUCCGAUGUUCAAAAACCCGAACACCACACUCUUUUUCACCUCACACACUCCCAUUCCACCUUCCCACAAAGGCGUUCGAGGUGUUCACAAAAUCCGGCAAAACGGAGAAGCCAGGUUUGUCUCAAAGGGUACCAAAGGAGAUUCCAACCAUUGAUAUUCCUCUCAGGGUAAGUUCACAGUUUUCCAUAUCCUUUAAACUUGGGUACAUCAUUCAUGUUCUUUGAUUGUCGUUUAUCUCGACUCUUUUAUGACAUUUUGAUCAAUGAAUUUUGUUCUGUUAGUUUGUUGGAGAGAUUGCACAAGCAAUGUGUUUUUUAUUUUAACUAUAUAGAAGCGUGGGUUAGGAGAAUGGAUUGACAUGGUGCCUUAUGUGUCAAUAAAAUUACAAUCAAGGGCAAUUUAGAGAUUCAAGGCAGGCUUAUUUAGGUUAGAUUACGUGUCAACAACCCUCCAGCUGUCACUUUCUUCUCACAGAACUCGUCUCUGUGCCGACUGCCUCUCCGAUGUUCAAAAACCCGAACACCACACUCCUUUUCACCUCACACACUCCCAUUCCACCUUCCCACAAAGGCGUUCGAGGCGUUCACAAAAUCCGGCAAAACGGAGAAGCCAGGUUUGUCUCAAAGGGUACCAAAGGAGAUUCCAACCAUUGAUAUUCCUCUCAAGUUUGUUGGAGAGAUUGCACAAGAUAUUACACAUGUUGGAUAGGAUAAAUAAAGCUUAUGUGGAUGAGAACCAUAAGCCACGGUGGCCUCUGCUGCCUCACUCACUUUUGUUGUAUCAGGAUGAAGCAUCUCUGAAAGGUCGCAAGUGAAUUAAAUACUGUAAAAGAAAGUAAUGUAAUGAAUAGCUCUUUUAGAUUACUUGAAAUGAAUAAUUCAGUUAAAUCCCGAAGCAUCUCCAUUAUGUAAUUGUAAAUUAAGUUUCUCAUUUAAUCAGAAUCAAGUUACUAAGAAUAUGACAGAGACAUGAACUUAGUUGAGAAAAUAAGUGAAGAGAAAUUAGUUUAAUUUGCCUCAUGAAAUUGAUUCUUUGAAAACCUGCAAUUGGAUCUGCUUCAAGGAAAUUAGUAGUCCAUUGUGAUUUUUAAUUAUCUGCUUUUGAUCAUCUAAAAUACUUAUAAUCUAUAAGUUGUAUAAAUAUGACUCAAAGCUACUAUUAAAGUAUUGUGUAC